rnacentral:rRNA from 1 species
GAUAAACGCUGGCGGCGUGCAUAACUCAUUCAAGUCGAACGGAUCUUUAAGAAAGCUUGCUUUAUUAAAGAUUAGUGGCGGACGGGUGAGUAACGCGUGAGCAACCUGCCUUUAUGAGAGGAAUAACACAGGGAAACUUGUGCUAAUACCUCAUAAUGCAUAUCAAUCGCAUGGUAGAUAUGCCAAAGGAGCAAUCCGCAUAAAGAUGGGCUCGCGUCUGAUUAGGUAGUUGGUGGGAUAAAAGCUCACCAAGCCAACGAUCAGUAGCCGGACUGAGAGGUUGAACGGCCACAUUGGAACUGAGAUACGGUCCAGACUCCUACGGGAGGCAGCAGUGGGGAAUAUUGGGCAAUGGGGGCAACCCUGACCCAGCGACGCCGCGUGAGGGAAGAAGGUCUUCGGAUUGUAAACCUUUGUCAACAGGGACGAAACAAAUGACGGUACCUGAAGAGGAAGCCACGGCUAACUACGUGCCUGCAGCCCGCGGUAAUACGUAGGUGGCGAGCCGUUAUCCGGAUUUACUGGGUGUAAAGGGUGUGUAGGCGGGAUUGCA